GAAAUUUGCAACGAUAACUCUGGUUCUUGGCAAGGAAUCUCAGGCUUGGGUAUUAGUUGGGGGACUUGAAGUUCUGUCCCUGAGACAAGAUCACAAGACUCGGAGUCCUGCAUGACCAGGUCCCUAACAAGGACCUCAUCUUUUCUGAAAGCUGAAUCCAUGGAUGAAUUAGGAUAAUUUUCAACACUCUCCACCAUUGUUGACUCCAACUCGAUAUCAGAAUUCCUAUUGUCUUCCGUGCACAGUUCAUUGUUUCCAGUAAACAAGGACCGACGGGCAGGGUAUCCCUUGCUUUCAUCUCCUUGCCUAUUCUGCAUGUUAUUCCCUUCAGAAUCUGCCCACUGGAAAAAUUUACAAGCUCCAUGGUUCUGUAUCAAAACCAAACCACUUUACUUGGAUCAAGACAAGCAUUACAAACACAGGCAAAAGUUUGGAGAAACACACAAGUAAAACUAAUAACUGUGUUUUAACUUUGACCAUCUCGCCCAAAGAUCGAGUUUACAGGCUUACAGCUACAAUCAAUUAUUGGAAAGCAUUAGAAAAACAGCUUUAUUCUCCAGAGGUGAUGCCCGGCUGUGGCCAGGAACUUUCUUAGGUUUUCUUGAGAAAAUUUAGAGUGGGACUGCUGUUAUGAAGUUAGUUUCAUGUUCUUGUCUUUGAAAAUACGACAUAGCAAGUUCUUUAAAUCUAAAUUGUUGAAUACAGAUCAACAGUAAGGCUUGUGUUUAAUCUUCAAAUCAAAUAUGAAACAACGACCCGCUAUUAAUGAGUAAAAAUCUCAACGGUUGAUUAAAAUGUGAUGUGGACUUUACGAACACGAUAGAGCAUGAUCUGGAGAACAUGGAAGCGUCGAGUCCAGUAAGAUCAACGAAGAACAGCACCAGCCCGUCACAAUGAUUAUGAACAGAUGGCAUAUUAUUGAGGAAAAAAAUCAAGACCCAGAACUCAAAACAGGUUAGAAAAUUGUUGAAAAGGAAAACGAAGCAAAAGUCAAAGAGCACACCUUCUUAAUCCGGCAAGCAAAAUACCAUCGGCCUCUAUCUGGACCACUUGAUACGAUAUUUAAACUGCAUGACCCGGCACCACAUGGACACAUAGGAGGUUUAAAUCUAGGAACAAUUUCGUCACUCCAUUUGAAGAAUCGGCAACGAUCCUAAAAAUUAACAACAAAAGAGCAAUGCAGAAGAAAUAAGGGAAAGGUGGGACAUGAGGUUUAGACUGGACAAUAGUACUGUACUAACCGAUGUUCUAUGAUCAACAGGGCAAGCAUAGAACUUUCUGCCAGGAUUUUUAACGGUGUUCGAAGUUGAAACUUUACAAGUGCCCCGACCACAAGGGCAUCGAACCACUGGAAGAUCAGGAACCUGCACUGAAGGCGAGGAGGAUGAUCCAGGGCUUAAGGCCAGUGAUUUUGGGGGGGUUUUGCUGGGGCAAUCUUUGGACCAGUGGCCAAGCCCUUUGCACAUGAAGCAUUGAUCACGUUCUUUAGGGUUCCUCUGAGGAGAUGGGGAAGCAGAGGAUGAUGCUUGUAGUGGAGUUGAGGAAAAUGGAUCGCUGUCGUGACACUCGUGGCUCUCACACGCCAUCACUCCACUGACUCUCUGGUUUUCUUCGAGGAGAACAGGACGGAGGGGACCGAGUUUGCUUCUUUUAUUUUGGUUCACACUGACUGGAGGGAACUUUCUUUUGUGAUUAGACAUGAGAGAAGUUUGCGAAUAAGCUGAGAAAGCUAGUGCAUUGCUAUGUAGUCUAGACUCUAGAGAGAGGCGCAUGAGGCGGAAUCUGCUCUCCACUCCACCUCUCUAUGUUUUUUUCUCUCUCUUUCCUUUCCGAUCAUCAUGAGAAGAUGACUAGAUCAGGGUAUUUCAGACCGGUCGAUACAUCGACCAAGAUUAAGUUUCUUUUAUAUCAAAAUAAUAAUUCAAAAGUGAAAAAUCAAUUAGUUACGUAUAAGGUUUUUACAUAGAGGUUGAAGGAAUUUGUUCUUUUUAUCUGUAUUAAGGUUUUAGUUUUAUUUGUGUAUAUUUGUCAUCUCUGUGAUGUUUUAUAUGUUUAUUGAGCUUAUAAAAUGUUCAAUUAAUUUGAAAAUUAGUUAUGGUAUGCGCAAGCUGACCCGGACAACUCGGGUUAAAAAAAAAUCAAUUCAUCUAAAAAUUGAUUUUAAAAAUUAAUCAAUAAAUCAGAAAACAAACCCUCUUGAUAGCUAGAAGACAAAAUAUCACUCCCUCCAAACGAUUUCCUAUAUUAUUUAUGGGAGAUGCAACUCCACCCCGAACAUUACUUCCUCGUAAAAAGCACUAAAUAAAUAUGAUUAAAAAACAUAAAUUUAUUUCUUUUUUUUAUUUUCUCCAGCCUAAAAUUUAUAGAUUUUCAAAUCAAAUAUACUCUAACUGUGGAAUAUGUAUCAGUGAACAAAUUAACGUCAAGCGUGGAGUAAAGAAAAAUAAAUAGAGACAUUAUUAUUAAUUUAAAGGUGAGCUAAGGUUUUUGAUUUGAAACAUGAGAAAGCUUAUUUAUUUUUAUGAUUCAAGCAAUUUUUGGUCCCAACGCAUUUAUAAAUAUUUUUUAUAACAUAAGAUUUAUUAAAAAUUAUGAUUAAAUUAUAAGUUUUUCAAAAUAACAAACACAUGAUUUUGAUGUUUUUAAGAGAGAAAGAAAAUUUCUUAUUAUUGCUUGUGAGAAAUUAUCAAAAUAACAUUAAAAAAAUUAAUUUGUCCUUUUAAGUCAUUUCCCAAACAUCCUGUAGGUAAUUUUUGUACAACCAUACAUGCAACUAGAUACUCUUAAAAUUUAUUUUUUUCCUAUAGAUAAUUUUUCUUAAUCAUGCUUUUUUUCCUGCUUUCCUUGCGUGGCAGACUUGAAUAAAGCCACGUAAAGGCUAACUUUGAAUGGAAAAGAAAUAAUUUAUGGAAAAGGCAGGUUUGUUGUCCUUUAUAUUAGUUUUCCUUUUUACCUUGAAUGAACUUUCUGCGUUCUUUCUUCUUGACUUGAGUGCCCGUAUAUUUACGCCGAUAGUUUUUACUUUUAAAGCAAACCGUAUAUGUUGAAUGUUUAGUAAUGCUAAAAACAUGUUUUACUGUUCACCUGAUACCCCUGCAAAAUUUAUGUAAACCACGUGUUUCCAGAAAGUGGAGCGUGAACUUUACUGUUUAUGUGAAUAGUAUAGUAUUUUUUCACUGUUCUUGUUUGACAGGGCUGUCUAAAGUUAAAUAUAUUAAAUUGAGUAUAAUCCAGUUAAAAAUUAAUAAUUUUUAAUUAUAUUUUAUUUAAAAAAUUAAAUGAAUAUCGCUUGAUGACAUAAAAUUUAUAAAAUUUAAUUAUAAUUACAAUUUUGUUCUUGGUUAUAUUUUAUUUGAUAUUGUUACGCGCUUGAAAAACCAAGAAAAUUAUAGUUAUUGUCGGAUGAAUUUCAUACGUGAUGAAAUUGUAUAAAUUUUAAUGAAACAAUAAAAAAUAUUUGAUAUAAGUAUUGCUUUUUUUAUUAUAUAAUAACAGUAGUUAAAUCUACAAUAUUUAAAUUAAAAGCAUCAAUAUAUAUAUAUAUAUAUAUAUAUAUAUAUAUUAUUUAAUAACAUCAAUCUGGAAAGCAUAUUUUUAACCAAACACAUUAAACUACUUUUUAUUCAAUACUAAUUUCAACAGCAGUUUUAACCAAACAUAUAUAAAUAUUAAACCAAUCUUAACCAAAAAUACUUUUUAAAAAAUAAUUUUUUUAAAUCACAACCACAAAAGCUAUCACAAUAUUAAACACACCUUCGUGAUCGUGGUUCAUAUAGAUGCCGGACUUUUUUUCCUUUUUUUUUAAUUAUAUUCAAGCAAUACAAAGGUGUUUAAAAAUUAUUAUAUUACCAUAACAAAGACUACUAAAGCAUGGAUAUUCAAUUAAUAUAAAAUUUGUGAUUUUUCAAGUUUUUUAAUAUAUUUUAAUAUAAUUUUAUCACAUUUAUAAAUAUUUUUGUCUUCAAUGAUAUACAAAAUACUAGAAUUUUUGUUGGGUUUGUAAUUUAAAUUUUCUAUGAAAAACCAUAUUGGAUUUUUUGUGAAACAAUAUAUGCAAUAUUUUUACAAUUGUAUGUUUUUUUAUUGUAUUAUUAAAUAAAAAAUUGUUUGAAAAUACAUGAAGUCGGGUCAGGAGUUCUUAAUGACAAUGCAAAAGCAUUUACUGUAACCCGGACAUUCCUUUAAAAUGUUGAAUUUUUUUGUCCGAUCUGCAGUAUAGUGUGGAACAAUAACAUGGCUGUUUUUUAAUUAAUCUUUGUAUUGUUUUUAUUAAAUAACAAAAAAAAUGUUAUUGAAUCCAUAAUUAAUUGGGUUUGGUGAUAAUGCUCCGGAUUAAUUCAAUAUAUUGCUGCUUAUUUUUUAAAAAAAAAAAAUCAAAGCUCUUGCACCUUGACUCUUUUUUUUUGUUUAUUUUUUAUACUAAAAAUAUCUAAUAUAGUGAACCUGGUUUGAUCUAAUCUGCUUGAAGGACUUCAAUAGGCAUUGCAAAUUUUAUAGUUUUACAGGGAAAAUUUUAAAGAAACAGAAAACAUACUUACUAACUCUACAAUUCUCUACAAAAUUGGAAAGCAUUAAAAUAUUGUUUUUAAAAUUCUGUAAUAAUCUUGUUUGAUUCACCUGAUUUAAUUAUGUUCAUUUAUUUUAUUUUUCUAAAUAAAUCAAGCAAGACCUUUAUUCCCAAUAAAAAAAAAACUAGAGUAAAAGACAUGUUUCCUUAAUUUUGUAUACAUAAUAUUUUUUUAAAAAAUAAAAAACAAAAUAAAAACUAGAAAACUAUUUUCUAAAACAACACUCAGUAAGAGAGCUAUGAGUUUUUUAUUUUAUUUUAAAAGUGAUUUUAAAAAAAAAAAAAUUUGUUUUUUUAUAUAUUUUUAAAUAUUUUAAUAUGUUGAUAUUAAAAAUAAAUUUUAAAAAAUUAAAAAAAUAUUAUUACAAUGCAAUGUAUUUUAAAAUAAAAAUUACUUUACAUAAUUAUUAUUAUCACAGUAACACGCCUCCAAACUAGCUCACUCCCCAAAUCAAUCACACCAGUGAAAGGCCGAAGAGGAGUAGUUUACGUUAGCUGAUCAAAUUUAGGUCAGGCCAAAAAAAUGAAAACGUUUCAUAAACUUCCAAAUUCUUGAAAAAAAAAUUUAUCUAAUUUAGUUUAGACUUUUUAAUACCGAUUUAGUUUUAAUUAAGUCUCAAAUUGUUUUAUGUUUUUCUUUAUUUUUAUUCUAAAUUAACUAUGCCAAAAAAGGGAGGUAAUUUUUAAUCCUGCACCUUGUUAACAUUCGUGGCAUCAUUUACACCUUUUAAUAAAAAAAAAUUGUAUUGAAAUGUUUGUAUGUGAUCAAAUUUCCUAAAGCUCGGGGAUUGAAAAACCUCCGUUCCAUUAAAGCUGUGGUUGGACUGCUGAAAAAUACGGGACCUAUAAAUAGUAAAAAAAAAAAAAAUUUAACCUGGUAGCUGUGUUUUGUUUAAUACAUAAUCGCAACUGCGUAAAUAAAUAUAGCCUAAAUAGAUCGACAAAACAAAUAAACUGAUUAUUAUACACAUAUAAAAAAAAGGAAUAAAUUGAUGAUCAUAAUGAAACUUUACAAGGAGCAUUGAUUCAACUGAAAGUAUAAUUAAUAAAAAAUAGAUCGUUAAUGGUCACAAAUCUUAAGAGAUAAAUUGAAACUUAGGGACGGACACAUGCAAUUUGUUUUUUUAUUUAUUAAUAUGAAUAUCUAGAUUAAUUUACACGUAAUUUAACUAAUUUUAUAAAUUUUUAAUAAUUUUAAAAAUAAAGAGAAUUAUCCAAUUCUAUGUGGUGCAAGACAAUUCAUUGUGACCUCUCAUCUUGAAAAAAAGCCCUAGUUUUGGGAAUUCUGGUUGUUAGAUUCAUGGAGAACUGCGUCACAAGCCAUAACAUAUUAAUGUUGUUAAGCACAAAUUUUUUGAAAAGAAAAUACAGCCAACUCGAUAAUAAGGACAUGAUUAUUUUUCCCAUCACACGCAUACAUCAUGAUUAGCUUGAAAAAAAUCAGAGAUAACAACAACAACUACAACAAAACAUAAUCCGGCUGGGUAUUGGCAAAGGGAACUCUGGUUCUUGUCAAGGAAUCUCAGGCUUGGGUAUUAGCGGGGGGGCUUGAAGUUCUGUCCCUGACACAAGAUCCCAAGACUCGGAGUCCUGCAUGACCAGGUCCCUAACAAGGACCUCAUCUUUUCUGAUAGCUGAAUCCAUGGAUGAAUUAGGAUAAUUUUCAACACUCUCCACCAUUGUUGACUCCAACUCAAUAUCAGAACUCCUAUUGUCUUCCGUGCACAGUUCAUUGUUUCCAGUAA
rnacentral:lncRNA from 1 species